rnacentral:lncRNA from 1 species
UAGCCACCGUUAACACGAAUAAUUUGACCAUUAACCCAUUCAGAAGCAUCAGUAGCCAAAAAACCAACAACAGGAGCAACAUCUUUAGUCUCACCAAGUCUACCAAACGGACUCUCUUCUUCAGUUUUCUUCACCAUCUCCUCCGUUUUCCCUUCGAAAAACAUCUCCGUUGCAAUCGGUCCCGGUGCCACACAGUUUGCAGUAAUCCCCGUUCCCUUCAGCUCCUUCGCCAGAAUCUUCGUCAUCGCUUCCACAGCCGCCUUCGACGCUGUGUAAGCUCCCAUACAGAUCUUCAAUGCCGCCACCAAUGACGAUGUCAGCAGUAUGAUUCUCCCUCCUCCGCCACGCUUCAAACGAUUCGCCGCCUCCUUCGUACAGAGAAACGCUCCUUUUAAGUUUAUAUUCAUGAUACGAUCGAAGCUUUCAACGGUUGUGUUUGCUAUGGUAGGGUACUUGGCGUCGAGGACGCCGGCUGAGUUAACCAGGAUGUGGACAGGCGAUUUGAAGGCUUCUUCGGCGGAGUCGAAGAGAGAUUUUACACCCUCCGGAUCAGACACGUCAGCGCGGACGGUGAUGGCUCGAAAAGUUGUUUGGUUGGCGUUGAUCUCGGCGGCGACGGAAUCAGCAUUGUUGGAGUUGGAGGUAUAGUUGAUGACGAGUCUUGCGCCGAGUGAAGCAAGGUGGAGUGCGAUCUCUUUACCGAUUCCACGGGAGGAACCGGUGACGAUUGCAACUCGGUCUUGAAGCGGUAGAGAAGCCAUGUGUCGUUCUUCUUAACUGAUAUCGCUCUUUCUCUGUAUUUUGUACUUGGUUUUUUGGUUGGUUUAGUGUGAUAAAAUAUCAACCAAUCAAAAUGUAAUAUACAAAAUGUAACAUUCAAUGUCAAAUAAAUAAGUCAAUUUAUUUUAGGAAAAAUUACAUUAAAUGACAUUUAUCU